CAUAAAUCACAGAGGUAAUGUGAAUCUUGUCAGGAUGUUACAGGGACAGAAGAACACGCGUGUGUUUAUCCGAUGGAGAGAGGGUCAUGAUGCUGAAUGCUGUCAUCAAAGGCUUUGACUUUUGUGGUGGAGCAGGACCUGCAAGGAAAGAUGAUGGCAGCAUUUGUUGGGAAAAAAAGGUUUUAGGGAUUUUACUCAAAUAUAAAGAUCUGAAAUGUCUGCAGACUGGUGUGAGCACUGAGGAUGAGGAGCCCAGAGCUGAAUCCUGGAAGUGGUGCCAUGGAUGAGACCCUCCAUCUCUCCAUCUGCCCUUAUGAGACCCUCUAUCGCUCCAUCUGCCCUUAUUGCCUCAGAUUGUGAAGCGCAGCGCAGCACAGCAACAAGCUCUGGCACGAAGGCACGGCUCACCUCUGGUGAAUUCAUCAGAAUAAAGCCGCAGAAUGGGAACCGCUGUGUUGAGAUGGCAGUAGGAUGUGGGGUUCAGUGCCUGUAAAUACAUGCUUGUAGUUUGAAUAAAGCUUUGUUUCAUGUGUUGUUGACUUGUA